GCAUAUGGAGGUUCCCAGGCUAGGGGUUGAAUCGGAGCUGUAGCCACCGGCCUACACCACAGCCACAGCAACGCCGGAUCGUUAACCCACUGAGCAAGGGCAGGGAUCGAACCCGCAACCUCAUGGUUCCUAGUUGGAUUCGUUAACCACUGCGCCACGACGGGAACUCCCUGAAUCCACCUUUGUUGUGAGGAUAGAAUGAAUUAACACAAGUAAAGGACCUGACGGAGGACCCUACCACGGUACCU
rnacentral:lncRNA from 1 species